GUGUCAGCCGCCGCGGUAAUACAGAGGUCCCGAGCGUUGUUCGGAUUCAUUGGGCGUAAAGGGUGCGUAGGCGGCGGGGCAAGUCUGAUGUGAAAUCCCGGGGCUCAACCCCGGAACUGCAUUGGAUACUGCCUUGCUUGAGUACUGGAGAGGGAACUGGAAUUUACGGUGUAGCAGUGAAAUGCGUAGAGAUCGUAAGGAAGGCCAGUGGCGAAGGCGAGUUCCUGGACAGUUACUGACGCUGAGGCACGAAGGCCAGGGGAGCAAACGGGAUUAGAAACCCGCGUAGUCC
rnacentral:rRNA from 1 species